CUGUCUUUCUUAUCCACUGAGAUCCCUUAGUUUUUCCUAUCACUCUACUUUAUUCAUUUAUUUAUUUUUUCCUGCUUUCUCAAUCCUUAGAUCAGAAUAUUACUUCUUUUUUGAAGAGAACUUGGACCCUUUUGGGGUCACUCCAGUGUCGUUGAGAAGGAAUCAACUUUCUAAAAUAACACAGAGCAGGUUUGUGUCUGUGUAUGUGUGUGUUCACACUAUUUACACCCUAGUAUGGAAAGGAAAUGGCUCUGGAAGCCAAGGGCAAAGUUGAGUCCACACCUGAAGAACAUACUUAAAUACACUGAUAAAGCCUGGAGGACCUAAUCAUUUGUCUUGAAGAAAACUGAAACAGUCACACUGAUAAACGGACCAACUGAGAACAAUUAACAUCUCAGUCACUUAAGAGAAGCCAAACAAGGACAACUUCAGUGGGUUUGAAGGUGAGAAGUCAUUCAAACAGAAACUCAGACCACAGGAUUCCUUGAGAACAGAACAUGUAGAACAAGGUCUUACCCCAUGCUCCUCUAAAGCAGGAGUGGAGUAUGUGCAGAACAGAGUUUUGGGCGGGGUCCCCCAUGGGCAGGGCUGGUGGUGGGGGACAAGAACGACACAAAUGACCUCAUAUGGCGAUAAAUUGAGUUUAUGUGCAGAUUCUUUCUUUUCUUUCCUUUUCAUUAUUUUUGCUUGAACUUUGUGGUUUUCCUCGGAGAGAUUGGCGCCCAGAAGGAAGGGUAGAAAGAACCAACUGACUGUUCUCAAAACAAAACAAAACUCAACAAAGCCUCUUUCUUCCUCAAGGACUAUUCCCAUGGAAAGUAAAAACGUAGGGCCUCGUUCCCACUGCCCGGCAGAAGUGGUGGCUCAUGGAAGUUUCUACUGUAUAUUUGCUUGCUGAUUAACUGACUUGAGGUGUGAGGCACAGACAGCUUCUGAUGAGAACCCUGGGGAACCGAACUUCUUGGGAGAAGAAUGGAGUGAAGAAGGUCCUUCCUUGAGUGGGAUAUCCACAGAGAUGGUCUAGCUAAGGAGAAGGAAUGAGAUGUCACUUCCAGAAGUCUUCCUGCGUGCCUCGGGUAGGAUGGCAACUCUGCGGUAGUCUGCCCCUUCUGCCAUCUGCCCUAUCCAGAGGAUCCCAGAUGUCUUAAUGGAAAAUGCCAGGGACUGUUGGCAGGUAUCUAGAAUUUGACCAAGCUAGCAGGAGAACCUCAAAGCUUGGAGACAUCAUCCCACCCUCUACAUAUGAAAUGGAAGCUUCCAACAGAUACCUGGGUCAGAUGAAGAAAUCGAGGUGCAAGGGGGUUAGCUACUUGCCGGAGAUCAUAUGACGGGGAGCAGAAGUCCUCGAUAGGAGGGACCCCGAUUCUGUGAUCUUACAGCUCUGCCUUCUGGGGUUUGAUAUCUUUAUUUUGUCAUGCCCCUUUCUGCAGGGGUGAGGGGAAUUCAGACUGGGGUGGGGGUCUCAGCAGAUGGCCAUGGAAAUCUCAAAACAGUGCCAUGGUUAUAUCCCAGGGGUGGAGGUGGAGGCCUGGAUGCCCUUUUCGGGAACUGAAAUACACCGGGCUACCUGGUCCUUGAAAGGAUUCAGAAAGUAUCAGCAGGUUGCUUGUUGCUGACUCAGGGAAUUAGGCUGGCAGACCCUGGGGACUCCCAAAGCUUGCUUGUGUCUGCAUGUCUCUAUGGGAAUAAGCCCAGGAAAAUCUAGAAGGACACGCUUACUGUAAAACAGAAGACUCCAGGGUCAUAGAAGAACCAAGUAUGAAGAUGUAGAGGACCCAAGACUCUCCCAUGUCCCUUUCCUUUCCUUUCUGCGAGUGUCUGUCUGUCCCUCCCUGCACCCCAGCCCGCCCAGAAGGCGGGACCCAUUCCUUCAUCUCAGCAUGCUUCUGCGCCACCCCCCGCCGCAAGCACCUGCGGUGGUGCUCGGCCCAUAGAAGGUGUUGCCAACACAUUAAUCACAUAAGAAAUGUGAACAUAAUGUGGCUCAUGUAUACAUUUCCUUGUGGUUUGUGGCCUGGAUGUUCUGCUUCCUACCGGUGUGACCUUCACAAUGUCUCCUGCCUCUCUGCGUCUACAUUUCCUGCUGUGGAUUUCAUGAGAUAAUACAGAGUUCAGAACACUGCUUCGCACAGGAUGAGUACCCUUCCAGCGUUAACUCUUCCCAAUAUCAGGAACACACAGCGCAUAACACCACCAUCUUCCCAACCAUUUCCUACAUGUGAUGGGAGUGCCGGAGUGAGGAGACCUGAAUUUGAAUCCCUACUCCCCUGUGUCUCGGGUAAGUGAUGACACUGCUGUGAGCCUUGAUUUCUAUAUCUGUCAAGUGGGGACAAAGUCUCUACCCUAUGGGGUACUGGAGAUUACAAGGAAAGUCCCCAGUGCAGAGUGGACACUUUAGCAGGUACCCGGAGGCUUGCUGAGGUCUGGAAGUUGCCCACGCAGUGACAAGAAAGCUGUGAACACCUGUGGCACAGUCCCAAUGUCACAUGGGAGAAACAGGCGACAAAGAGGCUUGUGGUUCAUUUUAGGGCCACUGUGUUCCAGGAAAGCUCAACUUCCUUACCGUCUUGAGCGACCUAAAAAGAAGUCAUAGAAGAACCGCAUUGGGCCGUCCACCUCACCCUCCCAUCCUUUCCCACCAGAAUCUUCUUGGCCCUUUGAAAAGGGGCUUCUCAUCCUCUUCCAGGCUUUUGUGCCAACUGGAUAAUCUGAUUCCCUAAGGGCAAUUCUCUCUGAAUUGUAGAGCAUCACCUUCCUUUAGCCGCAGUGGAACUUCCAAGCUGCACCAGGCCACCACUGGUCAGUCUGCCAUUUGAGGACAGGUCUCCAUGGCCCCAUGGGGAGGUCCUUGCAGACUUCCCCUGAGUGAAAGGGCAAAGCCCAGGGCGCUCCAUUUUUAUUAU